UAAAAAUACAGGAUAAUCCCGGGAAAAACGUGAGGGUUGACAGGUAUGGUGGUCAUCCUGUAUGGAUCCAAGCAUUAAACUGCACAGCAAAAACUGGAGAGUUGACAUUUCAGGGUUAAACAUUUCCGAGUUGAUUUCAACUCACGAAGUGUUACUUUAACAUUUUCUGAUUGAAAUGGUGUUUAUUGUUGGAGUUAUUUCACAGUGUUAAUCAUGUCAGAGUUAGACCAACUCUGCAGAGACGUGAUUAAGCUCCGCCCCUGUAUUUCACUGCUUCGGUUGGAGACGAGUCCGCGAUAAAUCAGCUCAAUUUUCUCUCCUCAUGCGGUUGACAGGUAAAAAUGUUGGUCCAGGUGAAGUACAGACAACAGCACAAGUAUGUGAAAUUGGAUGCAGUUGAAGGACAGUUUGACUUUCUACAAUUCAAUGAAAAAGGUGGAUCAAGACUUCACCCUCCUAUUUGAUCAUGAAACAUCCUCCAGGCUCCUUCAGAAAUGUGUUCUUCAGUCCAAAUGUCAUAAAAGAGGCUAAGUGGCUUACUUCAACACCCAGAGUUGCGUCGCUUGUUGCAGAGAGUCCCACAGGAAGUGAUCUUGAUGAGACAACAAUCAUGCUGCAGUUUGGAGGAGCAUCUCCACAACCAGCAGGGUCGACAGCCAUACCUCCUCGCUGUUGGGCGUCAGAAGAGCAAGAUUGACAGCUUCUACAUCACCAUGGAUAAGCAUCUCAUCCCACGCCAGGCAAACCGCUCCCUCCCAUGGGGCUUUCGACGAACUUUCCAAAACCCAUUUUGUGUUUAAUUUGUCGUACGAUGCUGCGUUACUGAAUUUUUACACAUUCUUGCAGAGAACAGUGUAUAACAUUGAUGUGGGGAAAAUGAAGGAGUCAGUCAGAGUCUUGAGAGCCAGACUGCUUGACCAGCUAGUACCGGUCUCACUCUCUGAGUAAGAGGCUAAAACAAUACUGACCGGUUUCAUGUGUCAGAAUUUGUAUCCCAGCAGCCAGAAGUUGAUGGUGUUAUACUGGAACUGUUGAUAAAUGAUAUAAAAUUACUGAAAACCCAAGGCCUUAGUCUUAGUAGUGUUUGAUUAAGAGGAAUGCUUC